rnacentral:rRNA from 1 species
UACGUGGGGGGCAAGCGUUGUUCGGAAUUACUGGGCGUAAAGGGCUUGUAGGCGGCCAACUAAGUCCGACGUGAAAUCCCCAGGCUUAACCUGGGAACUGCGUCGGAUACUGGAUGGCUUGAAUUCGGGAGAGGGAUGCAGAAUUCCAGGUGUAGCGGUGAAAUGCGUAGAUAUCAGGAAGAACACCUAUGGCGAAGGCAGCACUCUGGGACGGUACUGACGCUGAGACGCGAAAGCGUGGGGAGCGAACAGG